UCUUGGACGCCCGUCUUCACGAAACAGCGGAUAAGGAGACCAAUGCUCAGCUGUGUGGCCACACAACAUUACAUAUCAUCUGGAUCCGAACGUCUUAUAUGCACAACGGGGGUUGCCUUGCAAGCUUGCCGAUCAACACCUGCAUCUACCGGCUUCAGCAGACGAGGACGCCCAUCGAACAUCCAAUCUAGAAGCGGAGGGAAAGGGACGGCGUCGUCAAAGACAAGGCUGUUCUUCGCCGCCUCACACCCUCUCAUGAUCUAGGUUCGGCCGUUCGAGGAGGUGCCGAGAAAAAAAAGUCCCUCACCAUCCCCACCCCGAACAGUCUUGGGUCCGCACCGAUGAGCCCAAAUGUCCUGGAAGAGCGCCCUCUCUCUCUCUCUCUCACACACACACACACACACUGGAACGGGCCUCCUCUCUUCUCACCCAGCAGCCCUCAAGGGGAGAAGGAGAUGGACAAACUGACGAACGAACCUAUGGAUGGAUAUUGAGACAGAUCGAUUGGUGAAUGGACAGAAAAGAAACAGAAUGGGAAGGGGGUCGAAUGUUUUUCUCUGUAAAUAUCAAGUCGAUUAAACAAACCGCCCGCAAUAUCAGUUUGACUAAACUCCGUUUUCUGCGGGCACGGCGCAUGACGCACGCAACUUGCACACGCAUGCCACGGCUGGACGCUUCGUUCUUCGUUCAUUGCCUGUUUCUACUCAGGUGCGGAUAGAUGGCUGCGGUAUAGACGCGCCCAUUUCACUUGAGCCACCCCAGUAAUGCGUAAAAUAUUCAGGUAAUGUAAAAAGAAGAGUGGUGUUACACAUUUCAUAAUGUCUAUACUAGGGUAAGCGCUUAUUAUAAUCCAGAUGUGCGUGCAUGGAUGUGUGGCUGAUGUUGGCAUCAUGCAGUUCCUGCAAAAGACACAGCUGCAAUACGAGCUGGCAAUGACAGCGCGCGCACGCGAGCGUGUAAUAGAAAGGAGAAGAUGAAAAAAGAUGCGCGUCACAGUGCGAGAGCGCAGGUCUGCAUGUGUUUGUUAGGGAAGGUGGAGGGGAGAGGCUAUUCUUAGUAACAGACGUUCGGAAAUUAAUGGACGAAGAGAGCUCGUUCUCCCCCCUCCCUCCCUGAAAGUGAGUCGAGGAUCUUCUUUCCUCACUCUCCUCUCUCCUCUACUCGAGGCUACUUUUUUCACCCCAUCACCAAAACAUUAGUGCUCGUUCCAAGGUGUGACCAGCAAGCAACAUGCUCUGCACUAAAGCCGAAGCACCCUGCAUGUAUGUUUUCAGAUGCAACACAAAGAAGAAGGAAGAGGGGAAUAACAAUACGAGAAAAUCAAAUUUUUUGUUAAAGCUCUUCAAUUUUUUGGCUUAUUUAGGAUAUCUCCAGGAAAGAUGCAAAGAGUGAUGUCAUUUGUCACAGUGUGCACCUUCUGUAAAGGGCUGUUGCCACGUUACGUGAAGCGUCAGUGGAGAGGAAGGCCGAACCUCACAUCAUCAUAAUCAUCAUCAUUUUCUUCUUCUUCUUCAUAGGGCAAAAUUGUAUUAAGAGAUCUACUUGAUUGACUCCGCAUAUAGGCGUGUGAAUGCACAGCCGUUCACACACACACACACACACACACACACACACUAACGCGCGCCAGUGAACGGGCAGUGAUGUUGCAUAUCCAGAUUUAAGGGUGACCCGUAGAUUCAGCUCCUCUCACCUAUUGGACAGACUGAACUGGGGAAGCUUGCAAGCACAAAUCGAUAACAGCUCGACCUUAAACGACCAUCCGAUAUGUCGGGAAAAAGAUCAUUUUGCUUUGUGUCCACUAAGGAUAGGCUUUUUGAUUGUGUGGGAGCCUGACCCUACCACAAGGACAGAAAGACGUGAUAGAUAGAUAGAUAGAUAGAUAGAUAGAUAGAUAGAUAGAUAGAUAGAUAGAUAGAUAGAUAGAUAGAUAGAUAGAUAGAUAGAUAGAUAGAUAGAUAGAUAGAUAGAUAGAUAGAUAGAUAGAUAGAUAGAUAGAUAGAUAGAUAGAUAGAUAGAUAGAUAGAUAGAUAGAUAGAUAGAUAGAUAGAUAGAUAGAUAGAUAGAUAAAAAUUUCAGCACCAAGAACAGCGCCACAAACCAUGAAUGGCUGUAACCAAUUUUAUGAAUAGAUAAGUCGAUGCACACAAUGUCCACCAUUUCACAUGCAUGUUUUUUUUUAUUUCAGUUCAGUUAUAUAAAGGGAUCACCCUAAACGUUUUAAAACCGCUGAGUACAAAAAGCCAAAUAUUUGUCAUGUUACGAAGGGCUUAAGUUCCAUGUCAUUUUGGGUUUGUUUUGUAUUGUUGUAGAUUCUAUUGUUUAGUUAAGUUCCAUGUAAUUUCUUUCUGUUUUCUGUAUUUCUCUUGAUUUACAGUAAUUAUUUUUGAGUUAUCUAAUAAUAUAAUUUGGCCAUGUUUUGUUAGUUUACCUUUCCCAGAUUUGUCUUAUUUUCCCUGUCUCCUUUCUCUGUUCUUACCCUCUAAAUUCCUUCACAGCAGAAACCUGUUUGCUAAUUAGACUCACCUGUUUUCCAUACUAGUAAUUAAACUCCUCUGCUAAUA